rnacentral:rRNA from 1 species
AGCGAACGCUGGCGGCAGGCUUAACACAUGCAAGUCGAACGGAUCCUUCGGGAUUAGUGGCGGACGGGUGAGUAACACGUGGGAACGUGCCCUUAGGUUCGGAACAACACAGGGAAACUUGUGCUAAUACCGGAUGUGCCCCUUACGGGGGAAAGAUUUAUCGCCUUUGGAGCGGCCCGCGUCUGAUUAGCUUGUUGGUGAGGUAAAGGCUCACCAAGGCUACGAUCAGUAGCUGGUCUGAGAGGAUGGCCAGCCACAUUGGGACUGAGACACGGCCCAAACUCCUACGGGAGGCAGCAGUGGGGAAUCUUGCGCAAUGGGCGAAAGCCUGACGCAGCCAUGCCGCGUGGAUGAUGAAGGUCUUAGGAUUGUAAAAUCCUUUCAGCGGGGACGAUAAUGACGGUACCCGCAGAAGAA